UACGGGGGGGGCAAGCGUUGUUCGGAAUUACUGGGCGUAAAGGGCUCGUAGGCGGCCAACUAAGUCGGAUGUGAAAUCCCCAGGCUUAACCUGGGAACUGCAUCCGAUACUGGAUGGCUUGAAUUCGGGAGAGGGAUGCAGAAUUCCAGGUGUAGCGGUGAAAUGCGUAGAGAUGUGGAGGAACACCGAUGGCGAAGGCAGCCCCCUGGGCCAAUACUGACGCUGAGGAGCGAAAGCGUGGGGAGCGAACAGG
rnacentral:rRNA from 1 species